rnacentral:rRNA from 3 species
GGGUUGUGAGGUUAAGCGACUAAGCGUACACGGUGGAUGCCCUGGCAGUCAGAGGCGAUGAAGGACGUGCUAAUCUGCGAUAAGCGCCGGUAAGGUGAUAUGAACCGUUAUAACCGGCGAUUUCCGAAUGGGGAAACCCAGUGUGAUUCGUCACACUAUCAUUAACUGAAUCCAUAGGUUAAUGAGGCGAACCG